rnacentral:rRNA from 1 species
UGGGGAAUAUUGGACAAUGGGCGAAAGCCUGAUCCAGCAAUGCCGCGUGAGUGAUGAAGGCCUUAGGGUUGUAAAGCUCUUUUACCCGGGAUGAUAAUGACAGUACCGGGAGAAUAAGCUCCGGCUAACUCCGUGCCAGCAGCCGCGGUAAUACGGAGGGAGCUAGCGUUAUUCGGAAUUACUGGGCGUAAAGCGUACGUAGGCGGUUAUUCAAGUCAGAGGUGAAAGCCCGGGGCUCAACCCCGGAACUGCCUUUGAAACUAGGUAGCUAGAAUCUUGGAGAGGUCAGUGGAAUUCCGAGUGUAGAGGUGAAAUUCGUAGAUAUUCGGAAGAACACCAGUGGCGAAGGCGACUGACUGGACAAGUAUUGACGCUGAGGAGCGAAAGCGUGGGGAGCAAACAGGAUUAGAGACCCUGGUAGUCCACGCCGUAAACGAUGAGAACUAGGCGUUGGGGAGCUUGUCUUCUUAGUGCCGCAGCUAACGCGUUAAGUUCUCCGCCUGGGGAGUAC